CCCCACUGCACUGCCCGUCUUCUCCUUGUUACUUCACUUAGUGAAGAUUAGAAAGGAAAAGGGAUAUUACAAGCCUCACCCGGCUAUCAAGUAUAAUAAUCGCGACUCGAGGUACCGAUGGGGAUGACGCCAUGGCUUAGCAGUGAGGAAAUGUUAUUAGAAUAACUCAAACAAUUAAAGCUUUUGUAACUUAAGUACUUACUUCGUUUAAUUAACAUCAACUCUGUUUUACUUUAAUAUAACCUAGUACGUUUAAGUUCCAUGUUAUUA